rnacentral:lncRNA from 1 species
GUCACCAGAGCUCAUAAAAGAUGUGUGUGCUGUCGCAUCUAUGUGAAGUAUUUCCAUGACCCGAGCAUUGACUACAGGACUAUGCUGGAGGAAACUGGAUCAAGGUACCAAGACAGAUACAGGAGGGUCUCCAGAAACCCUAGAGCUGAAUGGAACCCUGUCUGGAAAACAUACACUGGAAACUAGGCCUAGGAUUAUUCAAAGGGUGGUUGAAAUCAAGGGUAAAAGUUUGGCUCAAGAUAAGGAAGAAUCUCUAAUAAUUAAAACUGACCAUCCAAAAGGAAA